UACGUAGGGGGCAAGCGUUGUCCGGAUUUAUUGGGCGUAAAGAGCUCGUAGGUGGUUCGGUAAGUCGGAUGUGAAAUCUCCAGGCUCAACCUGGAGACGCCACGCGAUACUGGCGUGACUAGAGUUCGGUAGGGGAUCACGGAAUUCCUGGUGUAGCGGUGAAAUGCGCAGAUAUCAGGAGGAACACCGGUGGCGAAGGCGGUGAUCUGGGCCGACACUGACGCUGUAGAGCGAAAGCGUGGGGAGCGAACAGGA
rnacentral:rRNA from 1 species